CCCCUAGAGGACUAGUGAUUAGGCCACAGCAUUCUCAUCGCUGUGACUUGGGUUCAAUUCCCAGCCACUGGA
rnacentral:tRNA from 1 species